GUCGAACGCGAAAGGGGGCAACCCCAAGUAGAGUGGCGGACGGGUGAGUAACGCGUAGGAAUCUACCCAGUAGUGGGGGAUAACCCGGCGAAAGCCGGGCUAAUACCGCAUAGGCCCUACGGGGCAAAGCAGGGGAUCUUCGGACCUUGCGCUAUUGGAUGAGCCUGCGUCGGAUUAGCUAGUUGGUGGGGUAAAGGCCCACCAAGGCGACGAUCCGUAGCUGGUCUGAGAGGAUGAUCAGCCACACUGGGACUGAGACACGGCCCAGACUCCUACGGGAGGCAGCAGUGGGGAAUAUUGGACAAUGGGGGCAACCCUGAUCCAGCAAUGCCGCGUGUGUGAAGAAGGCCUUCGGGUUGUAAAGCACUUUCGGUAGGGAAGAAAAAAGUUUGGCUAAUAUCCAAGCUCUUGACGGUACCUAAAGAAGAAGCACCGGCUAACUCUGUGCCAGCAGCCGCGGUAAUACAGAGGGUGCAAGCGUUAAUCGGAAUUACUGGGCGUAAAGCGUGCGUAGGUGGUUCGGUCAGUCAGAUGUGAAAGCCCUGGGCUCAACCUGGGAACUGCAUUUGAUACUGCUGAGCUAGAGUUUGGUAGAGGGAAGUGGAAUUCCACGUGUAGCGGUGAAAUGCGUAGAUAUGUGGAGGAACACCAGUGGCGAACGCGGCUUCCUGGACUA
rnacentral:rRNA from 1 species